GAUGAACGCUGGCGGCGUGCCUAAUACAUGCAAGUCGAGCGAACAGAUGAGGAGCUUGCUCCUCUGACGUUAGCGGCGGACGGGUGAGUAACACGUGGAUAACCUACCUAUAAGACUGGGAUAACUUCGGGAAACCGGAGCUAAUACCGGAUAAUAUAUUGAACCGCAUGGUUCAAUAGUGAAAGACGGUUUUGCUGUCACUUAUAGAUGGAUCCGCGCCGCAUUAGCUAGUUGGUAAGGUAACGGCUUACCAAGGCAACGAUGCGUAGCCGACCUGAGAGGGUGAUAGGCCACACUGGAACUGAGACACGGUCCAGACUCCUACGGGAGGCAGCAGUAGGGAAUCUUCCGCAAUGGGCGAAAGCCUGACGGAGCAACGCCGCGUGAGUGAUGAAGGUCUUGGGAUCGUAAAACUCUGUUAUGAGGGAAGAACAAAUGUGUAAGUAACUAUGCACGUCUUGACGGUACCUAAUCAGAAAGCCACGGCUAACUACGUG
rnacentral:rRNA from 1 species